rnacentral:rRNA from 1 species
UUACACAUGCAAGUCGAGGGGCAGCGGGUUGAAAGCUUGCUUUCAAUGCCGGCGACCGGCGCACGGGUGCGUAACGCGUAUCAAACCUGCCUCAUACUCGGGGAUAGCCUUGCGAAAGUAAGAUUAAUACCCGAUGUUGUUGCUUUCUCGCAUGGGAGAGUAACCAAAGAUUUAUCGGUAUGAGAUGGUGAUGCGUCCGAUUAGGUAGUAGGCGGGGUAACGGCCCACCUAGCCUUCGAUCGGUAGGGGUUCUGAGAGGAAGGUCCCCCACACUGGAACUGAGACACGGUCCGGACUCCUACGGGAGGCAGCAGUGAGGAAUAUUGGUCAAUGGGCGAGAGCCUGAACCAGCCAAGUAGCGUGCAGGAUGACGGCCCUCCGGGUUGUAAACUGCUUUUAGUUGGGAAUAAAAAAAGGGACUUGUCCCUUCUUGUAUGUACCUUCAGAAAAAGGACCGGCUAAUUCCGUGCCAGCAGCCGCGGUAAUACGGAAGGUCCAGGCGUUAUCCGGAUUUAUUGGGUUUAAAGGGAGCGUAGGCGGAUUGUUAAGUCAGCGGUUAAAGGGUGUGGCUCAACCAUACAUUGCCGUUGAAACUGGCGAUCUUGAGUGCAGACAGGGAUGCCGGAAUUCGUGGUGUAGCGGUGAAAUGCUUAGAUAUCACGAAGAACUCCGAUCGCGAAGGCAGGUGUCCGGGCUGCAACUGACGCUGAGGCUCGAAAGUGUGGGUAUCAAACAGGAUUAGAUACCCUGGUAGUCCACACAGUAAACGAUGUAUACUCGCGGUUUGCGAUAGACAGUAAGCCGCCAAGCGAAAGCAUUAAGUAUACCACCUGGGAGUAC